AACGAAAUAGCUCAGUUGGGGAUGUGUUAGACUGAAGAUUUAAAGGUUCCUGGUUCGAUCCCGGGUUUUGGCA
rfam:Danio rerio chromosome 4, GRCz11 reference primary assembly.